GACAAGAGGAUGGGACUGCAGUUGUGGCUGCCAGGGCCCCGGCCAGGGUGAAAACAAGGAACAUUCCAGAGAAGAUCACAAGGAUGCGAAUAAAAUCGGAGCUGCACAGGGAUCUUUGGGCUGUAAUAGGAGGGGACACACAGGGGUUAGGGGAGGGUCUAGCCCUUGGCUCCCUCAGCCCAGCCCUCCUGUCACCUUGCCUCUCCCCUUUCCCCCACCUUAUUCUAUCCCACCCGCCACCGUUGGCCAACUCCUCUCCUAAACAGUGGACUCUGCUUUUUCCCCUCCUCUUAUCCCUAAUCCUAGGAGCUUUCUGUCUGGCUUCCCUCCUGGCCCCUCGUGUAUGCAUUCUCUCUAGCGGUGGGGAUUAAGGAGAAAACUCACGUGGCCAGUGGGUAGAGAGAGUCCGGGCAGGCAGCUGCCUGAAGUCAGCCAGAGUCUGCAUGUGCCCAGCUGUCCUGGCCUCCAGCAUCUCUGGAAAAACAGAGACAGAAUGAGUAGCAGCAGGGGACCCCAUAGGGCACAUCUGAAGGCCUGAGAGGUGCUGGAUGGGAUGGGAAGGCAGAAACAGGCUGACCUUAUCUAGGGGUAGGAGUGGGGAGUACUGGUUGGGGUAUCACCGCUACCCCACGUGAUGGCACAGAGAGUUGCCUGGAACUUACCACUGACAUAAGGACAAGGAGAGGGACAAAUUCCUUCUUGGCAUCCUUAUGGCCCUGUGACCUGCUAAUGAAUGCUGACUCUGAGUUGCUACUAGAAUUUGGUUUCCUUGUGGCUUCCCAGGAAUUGUGAGCCAUGUUGGAUAAGGACCUGCAAGGGAAGAAUGAGGAAGCCUGGGACAGUGCAGGAGGGGAGAGCACUGGUGGUAGAGAGGAGUGAUGACAAGGGUCUCCGCCAAAAGGGAAAUGGAGGGGUUAAAGAAGCUGCUGGGGAGGGUUAAAAACAAUGUGUUCUCACUCGUAGGUGGGAAUUGAACAAUGAGAACACUUGGACACAGGAAGGGGAACAUCACACACUGGGGCCUGUCGUGGGGUGUGGGGAGGGAGGAGGGAUAGCAUUAGGAGAUAUACCUAAUGUAAAUGAUGAGUUAAUGGGUGCAGCACACCAACAUGGCACAUGUAUACCUAUGUAACAAACCUGCACAUUGUGUACAUGUACCCUAGAACUUAAAGUAUAAUUAAAAAACAAAACAAAACAAAACAAAAACAAUGAGGUGCUAUUGUUUUAGUGGUGAGUAUCCGGAGACCUGGGAGUUCUAUUUACCAGGUAUAACCUGGGCUCAAAAUUCCAGGCUGACUUCAGGCAUGUCCUCAUCUCAUAGAUGCCAGCACUAAGGCCCAGAGAGGGCCGAGCUCAUUCAGCCCACCCAUCUUCUCACCCCUGACUGCAUUUCCCGGGGGUCCUUCUGCAGCCAGGUGCUGCUGUGGUACUUUGGGAUCUAUUGGCUGAGCUCCCAGAGAAGGGUCAUGGAUUGGGCUAGUUUGGAACAAGUGAAGGGACUGAAGAUGGGCUCAGUAUGGGGCGAAGACCUUCAGGAAGGGUCUGCAGAGUGAGUAGGGGGGUUUUGACUAGGAAAAGUUCCAACCCUGCCGGGGCCGCUGUCAAGAGAAAAGCAUCUAUUACAGUUACAUUUUUAAGUUAAGUAGACUGAAGAAUAUUUCUUGUGUAUUAAAGACGUUCCUUUUUGGUUGAUUUGCAAUGGAAAAGCUUUUGUUUUCUUUUUUUUUUUGGAAACAGGGUCUCACUCUGCUCACUCUGUCUCCCAAGCUGGAGUGCAGUGGUACAGUCACGGCUCACUGCAGCCUCCACUUCCUGGACUCAAGUGAUCUUCUCACUUCAGCCUUCUGAGUAGCUGGGACUACAGGUAGACCCAGUGUAAUCACAAGCAUCCUUGUAAGUGGCAAAGAGGCAGAGGAGACAGCGCCAGAGAGGCAGCUGCAUGAGAAGGAUCAAGAUGUUGCUGACUUUGAAGUUGGAAGAAGAAGGCCAUGAGCCUCAGUAUGUGGGCGGCUUCUAGAAGCUGGAAGGGGCAAGGAGAUGGAUUUGACCCUUCAGCCUCCAGGGGCAGCUGUACCUGCCAUCACUGAUUGUAGCCUGGUGAGGCCUGUUUUAGACUUCUGACCUGUAGAGCUGUAACAUAAUACAUUUGGGUUGUUUUCAACCACUAAGUUUGUGGUAAUUUGUUGUAGCAGCUGUAGAAAAUGAAUACAUAUGAAUCCUCUGGCAUUUGUUUGAGAUUUGCUCUAUGGCCUAGUAUGUGGUUGUAAAUGUUCCAUCUGUGCCUGAAAAAAUGUAUAUUUCUAAUUCAGUAGUCUCUGCUUUUUUUUUUUAUUUUGUACCCCAUCAAUAAAAUGAUUUUCAGCAUGUAUCCCCAAAUAAACAAUAUUUUAUUUAUUGAUUGAUUGAUAAACAGACAUGUUUAAUGAUAGCUUGCUUUUCACAGAGGUGACUUCGGAGACUUCUAAUCUAUAAUCCAGGAGUAUAUAACCAUGCAGCACAGACCAAUUAGUCACAUGUAAAAUAAACU
rnacentral:lncRNA from 1 species